UUCCUUCAGGUUGAUGAGGGGAGAGAGAUCAGUUGAACCUCUUCCUUCAGGUUGAUGAGAGAGAUCAGUUGAACCUCUUCCUUCAGGUUGAUGAGAGAGGUCAGUUGAACCUCUUCCUUCAGGUUGAUGAGGGGAGAGAGGUCAGUU
rnacentral:lncRNA from 1 species